GCUGGCGGCGUGCUUAACACAUGCAAGUCGAACGCGCAGCAUUCUGUAGCAAUACAGGGUGUGGGCGCGUGGCGAACGGGUGCGUAACACGUGGAUAACCUUCCUUGAGGUGGGGAAUAACCCAGUGAAAAUUGGGCUAAUACCGCAUAACAUCGCGAUGGCACGUGCUGUUGCGAUCAAAGGCGCAAGUCGCCACAAGAGGGAUCCGCGGCCGAUUAGCUUGUUGGCGAGGUAAUGGCUCACCAAGGCAAUGAUCGGUAGCCGGACUGAGAGGUUGGCCGGCCACACUGGAACUGAGACACGGUCCAGACUCCUACGGGAGGCAGCAGUGGGGAAUCUUGCACAAUGGACGAAAGUCUGAUGCAGCAACGCCGCGUGGGGGAUGAAGCUUCUCGGAGUGUAAACCCCUUUCGACCCGGAAGAAUGCCCGCAAGGGUAUGACGGUACGGGUAUAAGAAGCCCCGGCUAACUACGUGCCAGCAGCCGCGGUAAUACGUAGGGGGCCAGCGUUGCUCGGAAUUACUGGGCGUAAAGGGUCCGUAGGCGGUGUAGCAAGUCGAUAGUGGAAUCUCUGCGCUUAACGCAGAGGCUGCUAACGAAACUGCUGUGCUAGAGUGUGAGGAGAGGCGAGUGGAAUU
rnacentral:rRNA from 1 species